UACGUAGGGGCCGAGCGUUGUCCGGAGUUAUUGGGCGUAAAGCGCGCGCAGGCGGCUUGACGCGCCCGACGUGAAAGCCCCCGGCUUAACCGGGGAGGGUCGUCGGGUACGGUCAGGCUUGAGGGCGGGAGAGGGUGGUGGAAUUCCCGGUGUAGUGGUGAAAUGCGCAGAUAUCAGGAAGAACACCAAUGGCGAAAGCAGCUCUCUGGGACGGUACUGACGCUGAGACGCGAAAGCGUGGGGAGCGAACAGG
rnacentral:rRNA from 1 species